UCCUCGGUAGUAUAGUGAUUAGUAUUCCCGCCCUGUCACUAGGGUGACCGGGGUUCGAUUCCCCACCGGGGGG